UACCGAGGGGGCAAGCGUUAUUCGGAAUUAUUGGGCGUAAAGGGCGCGUAGGCGGCUUGGCAAGUGGAUGGUGAAAUCCCUCGGCUUAACCGAGGAACUGCCGUCCAAACUGCUUCGCUUGAGACCGGGAGAGGUGAGUGGAAUUCCCAGUGUAGCGGUGAAAUGCGUAGAUAUUGGGAGGAACACCAGUGGCGAAGGCGGCUCACUGGCCCGGUACUGACGCUGAGGUGCGAAAGCGUGGGGAGCAAACAGG
rnacentral:rRNA from 1 species